rnacentral:rRNA from 1 species
UGGGGGAUAUUGCACAAUGGGCGAAAGCCUGAUGCAGCGACGCCGCGUGGGGGAUGAAGGCCUUCGGGUUGUAAACUUCUUUUGCUCUGAACAAGGCAUGCUAAUGGGUGUGUUGAGUGUAGGGGUUGAUUAGCGCCGGCUAACUACGUGCCAGCAGCCGCGGUAAUACGUAGGGCGAGAGCGUUGUCCGGAAUUAUUGGGCGUAAAGGGCUUGUAGGUGGCUGGUUGCGUCUGUCGUGAAAGCUCAUGGCUUAACUGUGGGUUUGCGGUGGGUACGGGCUGGCUUGAGUGACGUAGGGGAGGCUGGAAUUCCUGGUGUAGCGGUGGAAUGCGCAGAUAUCAGGAGGAAUACCGGUGGCGAACGCGGGGCUCUGGGCUGUUACUGACUCUGAGGAGCGAAAGCAUGGGGAGCGAACAGG